GAUUCAUAAUAACUUAACGAAUCGCAUGGCCAUGCGCCGGCGAUGGUUCAUUCAAAUUUCUGCCCUAUCAACUUUCGAUGGUAGGAUAGUGGCCUACCAUGGUUUCUACGGGUAACGGGGAAUUAGGGUUCUAUUCCGGAGAGGGAGCCUGAGAAACGGCUACCACAUCCAAGGAAGGCAGCAGGCGCGCAAAUUACCCAAUCCCGACACGGGGAGGUAGUGACAAUAAAUACUGAUGGAGAGCUCUUUUGGGUUUUCUAGUUGGAAUGAGUACAAUUUAAAUUUCUUAACGAGGAACAAUUGGAGGGCAAGUCUGGUGCCAGCAGCCGCGGUAAUUCCAGCUCCAAUAGCGUAUAUUAAAGUUGUUGCAGUUAAAAAGCUCGUAGUUGAAACUCAGGCCUGGCUGGCCGGUCCGCCUCACCGCGAGCACUGGUUCGGCCGGGCUUUUUCCUUCUGGGGAGCCGCAUGCCCUUCACUGGGUGCGUUGGGGAACCAGGACUUUUACUUUGAAAAAAUUAGAGUGUUCAAAGCAGGCAUAUGCUCGGAUACAUUAGCAUGGAAUAAUAGAAUAGGACGUGUGGUUCUAUUUUGUUGGUUUCUAGGACCGCCGUAAUGAUUAAUAGGGAUAGUCGGGGGCAUCAGUAUUCAAUUGUCAGAGGUGAAAUUCUUGGAUUUAUUGAAGACUAACUACUGCGAAAGCAUUUGCCAAGGAUGUUUUCAUUAAUCAGUGAAC
rnacentral:rRNA from 1 species